AGAGUUUGAUCCUGGCUCAGGAUGAACGCUAGCGGCAGGCUUAAUACAUGCAAGUUGAACGUUCAGCAAUGGACGUGGCGCACGGGUGCGUAACGCGUAUGCAAUCUGGCUCAUACAGGGGGAUAACCAGUCGAAAGAUUGGCUAAUACCGCGUAACACAUUGAGGGGCAUCCCUUUAUGUUAAAAGAUUUAUUGGUAUGAGAUGAGCAUGCGUGCCAUUAGCUAGUUGGAGUGGUAACGGCACACCAAGGCUACGAUGGCUAGGGGAACUGAGAGGUUGGUCCCCCACACUGGUACUGAGAUACGGACCAGACUCCUACGGGAGGCAGCAGUAAGGAAUAUUGGUCAAUGGGCGGAAGCCUGAACCAGCCAUGCCGCGUGAAGGAAGAAGGUGCUCAGCAUCGUAAACUUCUUUUAUCAGGGAA
rnacentral:rRNA from 1 species